rnacentral:ncRNA from 1 species
UUUUUCAUUAAAUGAACUGAACUCCCCUAAACAAGAAUGAAGAGGUUGUACUGACCUACACAGCAUACAUAUGGUUAAGGAACUGUCAUUCACUUUAUGGUAUCUAACCAAGACUUCUC